rnacentral:rRNA from 1 species
UGGGGAAUAUUGCACAAUGGGCGCAAGCCUGAUGCAGCCAUGCCGCGUGUAUGAAGAAGGCCUUCGGGUUGUAAAGCACUUUCAGCGGGGAGGAAGGCGUUAAGGUUAAUAACCUUGGCGAUUGACGUUACCCGCAGAAGAAGCACCGGCUAACUCCGUGCCAGCAGCCGCGGUAAUACGGAGGGUGCAAGCGUUAAUCGGAAUUACUGGGCGUAAAGCGCACGCAGGCGGUUGAUUGAGUCAGAUGUGAAAUCCCCGGGCUCAACCUGGGAUCUGCAUUCGAAACUGGCAGGCUAGAGUCUUGUAGAGGGGGGUAGAAUUCCAGGUGUAGCGGUGAAAUGCGUAGAGAUCUGGAGGAAUACCGGUGGCGAAGGCGGCCCCCUGGACAAAGACUGACGCUCAGGUGCGAAAGCGUGGGGAGCAAACAGG